UGGUUGUCGUCAGCUCGUGUCGUGAGAUGUUGGUUAAGUCCCGCAACGAGCGCAACCCUUGUUGCUAGUUACCAUCAUUGAGUUGGGGACUCUAGCGAGACUGCCAGCGAUAAGCUGGAGGAAGGUGGGGAUGACGUCAAAUCAUCAUGCCCCUUAUGACCUGGGCUACAAACGUGAUACAAUGGCUGGAACAAAGGGAGGCGAAGGGGUGACCUGGAGCGAAACCCAAAAAUACAGUCUCAGUUCGGAUUGAAGUCUGUAACUCGACUACGUGAAGUCGGAAUCGCUAGUAAUCGCAGAUCAGCAUGCUGCGGUGAAUACGUUCCCGGGUCUU
rnacentral:rRNA from 1 species